GGUACGGUGGCCGAGCAGCGAAGGCGCCCGCCUGCAACGCGGGAUUCCGCGGGUGCGAGUCCCGCCCGUACCU
rnacentral:tRNA from 1 species